ensembl:lncRNA
CUUCAACUGCAGCAACACUCGCUGGUACUCAAACCUGGCUGGAGGAUUUAUUUAUGUUAAAGCAGGUCAAAAAUUAAAAAAUCGCCUCUCUAUCAUUCUACUGGGAAAAAAAAAAGAAUUACGGACAUUUGAAAACUCCAGUAAAGAAACAACACGUGAGUUAUUUGAUCAUGAAUGUGAGGAAGCAGCUGUGGUCUCUGGCGCGCAUGGUGGUGCCCGGGGCGGGAUUUGCGAUCACCUGCAUCGGGGCCUACGUUGUGUCCCUUCAGACGGACCACAGGUACACUUUGAGGGUCGUCUCUGCCUAUGGCACGGUGGUGUUCGGCAUCCUGCUUGUGCUCACCGGAGUCUUCUGGAACAUUUGCCACAGCAUGAAGAGCAAGAUGUACCAGAGCGGAGGACGCGAGCAGCACCUGCAGAUCUACACUGUUGACAGAAGCUCCUUCCCUCCGUCGUACGAGGAGUCCCAGGCCAGCCAGCCGAGUCCCGAUGCGGCGCCCGAGUUUGAGGUGGCGGUGGUGGUGGACGGGGCGCAUGUGGCGCUGGGCCUCGCUCCUCCUCUCUACAGCCAAGACGCCUCGGAGGCCCCGGACUGCACGUGGAGCUGGGAGCAGCCUCCUCGCUACUGUCAGGUGGAGCGCGUUCAGCAGGGAAACGUGGAUGCGUGAGGCGCAGACGGGGGAGUUGUCACGACGCCGGAGGGAGGAAACGUUUUGCCGAAGUGGCUUGAAGGGAAAGCUGACUGGCGAUGGUUGAUGGGAAUGUGCUGGACAGGACGCUCCAGAAGAACGGGAGGUGCCUUUUGAAUAUGGUACGAAAGAUGGACCAGAUGUGCUGACAUCAGUCUUCACCCUAAACUCUUCGGGCGGACCCUGCAGUACAUUAAGGGCUCUUGAAAGAGGUGAAUUCUUGUGGUGUUGUGCUGAUGUUGGUCGAAUGCUUUUUUGUCUCAGGCCUCGAGCCUGAAAUUGCUGCUUAGUAAAUAACCGAGGAAAGUAUUAAUCCAGCUGGAUCCAUUGACGGUCAGAAAUUACCUUUAUCUGCACUGUAGCAACAAUUUGUACACUAUUAAACUAUUGCAAGUGUAAUACAGCUGCUUGCAUUGGAGUUAAGGGAGCUACCUCUAUUCUGGGGUUAUUUGUAUUAUGUAAAUAAAAAUAGGAAGUUGUUGAGUUUGUGUUCAAUAUGUUUCUUUCCCACUAAAACAUAAAUGCAAACGUUUGAUAAUGAUUGCUAUAAAUUACAUGUUUUAAAUGGAAUUCUUCUUAAC